ACGUAAUAGAUACCCGGGUAGUCCACGCCGUAAACGUUGGGCGCUAGGUGUGGGAUCCCUUCCACGGGUUCCGUGCCGCAGCUAAACGCAUUAAAGCGCCCCGCCUGGGGAGUACGGCCGCAAGGCUAAAACUCAAAGGAAUUGACGGGGCCCGCACAAGCGGCGGAGCAUGUGGAUUAAUUCGAUGCAACGCGAAGAACCUUACCUGGGUUUGACAUACACCGGAAAGCCAUGGAGACAUGGUCCCCGCAAGGUCGGUGUACAGGUGGUGCAUGGCUGUCGUCAGCUCGUGUCGUGAGAUGUUGGGUUAAGUCCCGCAACGAGCGCAACCCUUGUCCUAUGUUGCCAGCACGUAAUGGUGGGGACUCAUGGGAGACUGCCGGGGUCAACUCGGAGGAAGGUGGGGAUGACGUCAAGUCAUCAUGCCCCUUAUGUCCAGGGCUUCACACAUGCUACAAUGGCCGGUACAGAGGGCUGCGAAGCCGUGAGGUGGAGCGAAUCCCACAAAGCCGGUCUCAGUUCGGAUCGGGGUCUGCAACU
rnacentral:rRNA from 1 species